rnacentral:misc_RNA from 1 species
GGCGGAGAAUGUUAUGGCCUUCGGGCAGAGAAAACCGUC